rnacentral:rRNA from 1 species
AUGAACGCUGGCGGCGUGCCUCAUACCUGCAAGUCGAGCGAACAGACGAGGAGCUUGCUCCUCUGACGUUAGCGGCGGACGGGUGAGUAACACGUGGAUAACCUACCUAUAAGACUGAGAUAACUUCGGGAAACCGGAGCUAAUACCGGAUAAUAUAUUGAACCGCAUGGUUCAAUAGUGAAAGACGGUUUUGCUGUCACUUAUAGAUGGAUCCGCGCCGCAUUAGCUAGUUGGUAAGGUAACGGCUUACCAAGGCAACGAUGCGUAGCCGACCUGAGAGGGUGAUCGGCCACACUGGAACUGAGACACGGUCCAGACUCCUACGGGAGGCAGCAGUAGGGAAUCUUCCGCAAUGGGCGAAAGCUUGACGGAGCAACGCCGCGUGAGUGAUGAAGGUCUUCGGAUCGUAAAACUCUGUUAUUAGGGAAGAACAAAUGUGUAAGUAACUAUGCACGUCUUGACGGUACCUAAUCAGAAAGCCACGGCUAACUACGUG